AUCCAUUUUAGAUCCAGAGGAAUUCAAUAAACUAUUAGAAUCUUAGUUAUUAACUAUAUAUAUCUAGUCAAAGUCUCUAGUCAAAGUCGAUAUGAAUUGAAUCUAGAAAAUAAUAGAAUUUCAAAUCAAUCAAAUCAAUAUUAUAGAACACAACGAUUAAUAGAGCGAUAUAGAAUUUCGAUUUAUUUAUCACUAAUACAAUUCGAAUAUUAUUAAAUCUGAUAUAUCUUUUAUUAUUUUUGUUUUGAGUUUUAUUAUUAUUUGAGUUUUAGAUAAUUAACGUUUUCCUUUUUGAAUUCAAAUGACUUUUGAACUUCUUUUUAUUGUUUAUUGUAUUAUUUUAUUGGAUUCUAUAUCAUAUAUUUUGAAUUACGAAUGGUUAGUUAUAACUAAUGAGACAUUACCCACUUUCAGUCAUAAAGAGGUAAGUAGGAAAAGCGGAAAUUAAGACGACAAAAAGAGAAUCGACCCUUCAAGUAUUCAAAAUUACGUCAAAAAUCUGACAGGUAGAUAUAUAUACCUAGGAUAUAUAUCCAUCUAUAUUGAAUUGCAGAUACAGAAAUGGUACAAUCAUGGUCGAUUGGACCAAAUCCAAAUAGGGUUCUCCUAUAGUCCUAUAGAAAAAUGGUAAGAAUAAGAAGAAGGUAGGAAAAGAAAACAUUUUUUCGAGAUAGGAAUCCGGUAUCUAAUGAAUUCAACGAUUCCAGUAUAAAUGAAACAAAAAAAGAAACGACAUCGCAAUGAAAUUCGAAUCUCAACGCAAAAUGAGGGGGGAUAUGGCGAAAUUGGUAGACGCUACGGACUUAAUUAGAUUGGGCCUUGGUAUGGAAACCCGCCGAGUGAGAACUUUCAAAUUCAGAGAAACCCCGGAAUUAAUAAAAAGGGGCAAUCCUGAGCCAAAUCCUGUUUUAUGAAAACAAAGGUUCAGAAAAUCAAAAAAGGGAUAGGUGCAGAGACGCAAUGAA
rnacentral:precursor_RNA from 1 species